rnacentral:rRNA from 1 species
UGGGGAAUAUUGGACAAUGGGGGGAACCCUGAUCCAGCCAUGCCGCGUGUGUGAAGAAGGCCUUAUGGUUGUAAAGCACUUUAAGCGAGGAGGAGGGUACUGGUAUUAAUACUACCAGGUACUGGACGUUACUCGCAGAAUAAGCACCGGCUAACUCUGUGCCAGCAGCCGCGGUAAUACAGAGGGUGCGAGCGUUAAUCGGAUUUACUGGGCGUAAAGCGUGCGUAGGCGGCUAAUUGAGUCGGAUGUGAAAUCCCCGAGCUUAACUUGGGAAUUGCAUUCGAUACUGGUUAGCUAGAGUGUGGGUGAGGAUGGUAGAAUUCCAGGUGUAGCGGUGAAAUGCGUAGAGAUCUGGAGGAAUACCGAUGGCGAAGGCAGCCAUCUGGCCUAACACUGACGCUGAGGUACGAAAGCAUGGGGAGCAAACAGG